GCCCAUCUGCCUCAGUGGUAGAACAUCUGCUUUUCAUGCAGAAGGUUUCAAGUUCAAUUCCUGCCAUCUCCA
rnacentral:tRNA from 1 species